rnacentral:rRNA from 1 species
UACGUAGGGUGCAAGCGUUAAUCGGAAUUACUGGGCGUAAAGCGUGCGCAGGCGGUUUUGUAAGUCUGUCGUGAAAUCCCCGGGCUCAACCUGGGAAUUGCGAUGGAGACUGCAAGGCUAGAAUCUGGCAGAGGGGGGUAGAAUUCCACGUGUAGCAGUGAAAUGCGUAGAGAUGUGGAGGAACACCGAUGGCGAAGGCAGCCCCCUGGGUCAAGAUUGACGCUCACGCACGAAAGCGUGGGGAGCAAACAGG